UUCACAUAAGUUUUCAAUUUUCCAGACCAUUAUAGAACUUCUUAGCAUUUCCUCUGAUUCUUAGUCACCGCGUAAACCCUUCCCUACCAAAACUUUCCAGCCUUCUUCUUCAUCCGGUGUCUCUAUUUUUUUUAUAGAAAUCACAGUAUGGCAAAUGAGGGAUCAUCAAAUCCUCCCAGCAGUGAUGUUGGAUGGAUAUAUUAUACUCGAGGACAAGGAAGUGUUGUACUCAAAAGAAGAAGUUGAAGGGCAUGCCCUAUUACUAGACAAUGAGGAUUAUGAUUAUAUUCGGGAAGAGGCACAGCAGAAUGAUAGAUGUUUUCUUGAUGCUUUUAGCUUUUUUUUAUUAUAUGUCUUAUUGGGACUUAUUUAGCUAAUUAACUUUUAACUUAUUUUGAUUAUGUGCCUCACUAGGACUUGUUUAGCUAAUUAGCUUUCAACUGUUUUUAGUAUUUUUUGACUAUAUUGUCUUGAAUAAUUUAACUUAUGAGAUAAUAUUAUGUUAAUGUUUGUCCAGCUUAUUUUUAUUUGCAUAUAGCAUGCUUUUUUUUAUAUACA